rnacentral:lncRNA from 1 species
CCGGCGCAUGCGCGGUGCUCGAGCGCCGGGCCGCCGCUGCGGCGGCGCUCCGUUGGCGGCCGGCGCAUGCGCAGCGGCAGGGAGCAGCAUGGCGGCGAGUAGGGCAGGCGUUUUCGCUCGGCGGCGGCGGGUUGAGAGCCGGGGCCGCCUGGAGUCGAGGAUCUGGGGGCCCCGGGCCCCGGUUCCUCCCCAGYGCGGGCCGGGGCGCGCGCUCGCCCCUGCAGACGCAGCCCGGAGGAACGGGGAGGCAGGCGAGCCCCGGAGUGGGCUUGUGGCGCGGCGUCCGCGGGAGGACGGCUCCUGUGGCGGCAGGCACACCCGAGAGUGCUGA